rnacentral:tRNA from 1 species
UGGUCUAGCGGUUAGAACGCUGGCCUUGUAAUCCUGCGGUCUCGGGUUCGAUUCCCGA